rnacentral:rRNA from 1 species
AGUGAACGCUGGCGGUAGGCCUAACACAUGCAAGUCGAACGGCAGCACAGUAAGAGCUUGCUCUUACGGGUGGCGAGUGGCGGACGGGUGAGGAAUACAUCGGAAUCUACUUUUUCGUGGGGGAUAACGUAGGGAAACUUACGCUAAUACCGCAUACGACCUACGGGUGAAAGCAGUGGAUCUUCGGACCUUGCGCGAUUGAAUGAGCCGAUGUCGGAUUAGCUAGUUGGCGGGGUAAAGGCCCACCAAGGCGACGAUCCGUAGCUGGUCUGAGAGGAUGAUCAGCCACACUGGAACUGAGACACGGUCCAGACGCCUACGGGAGGCAGCAGUGGGGAAUAUUGGACAAUGGGCGCAAGCCUGAUCCAGCCAUACCGCGUGGGUGAAGAAGGCCUUCGGGUUGUAAAGCCGUUUUGUUGGGAAAGAAAAGCAGCAGGUUAAUACCCCGCUGUUCUGACGGUACCCAAAGAAUAAGCACCGGCUAACUUCGUG